rnacentral:piRNA from 1 species
UUUGAUCUUAGCCAUUCUGACUGAUG